CCUACGGGUGGCAGCAGUAGGGAAUCUUCCACAAUGGACGAAAGUCUGAUGGAGCAACGCCGCGUGAGUGAAGAAGGGUUUCGGCUCGUAAAGCUCUGUUGGUAGUGAAGAAAGAUAGAGGUAGUAACUGGCCUUGAUUCGACGGUAAUUACUUAGAAAGUCACGGCUAACUACGUGCCAGCAGCCGCGGUAAUACGUAGGUGGCAAGCGUUGUCCGGAUUUAUUGGGCGUAAAGCGAGUGCAGGCGGUUCAAUAAGUCUGAUGUGAAAGCCUUCGGCUCAACCGGAGAAUUGCAUCAGAAACUGUUGGACUUGAGUGCAGAAGAGGAGAGUGGAACUCCAUGUGUAGCGGUGGAAUGCGUAGAUAUAUGGAAGAACACCAGUGGCGAAGGCGGCUCUCUGGUCGGCAACUGACGCUGAGGCUCGAAAGCAUGGGUAGCGAACAGGAUUAGAUACCCCGGUAGUC
rnacentral:rRNA from 1 species